AGGCAGCAGUGGGGAAUAUUGGACAAUGGGGGGAACCCUGAUCCAGCCAUGCCGCGUGUGUGAAGAAGGCCUUUUGGUUGUAAAGCACUUUAAGCGAGGAGGAGGCUACUUAGAUUAAUACUCUGGGAUAGUGGACGUUACUCGCAGAAUAAGCACCGGCUAACUCUGUGCCAGCAGCCGCGGUAAUACAGAGGGUGCGAGCGUUAAUCGGAUUUACUGGGCGUAAAGCGUGCGUAGGCGGCUGAUUAAGUCGGAUGUGAAAUCCCCUGAGCUUAACUUAGGAAUUGCAUUCGAUACUGGUCAGCUAGAGUAUGGGAGAGGAUGGUAGAAUUCCAGGUGUAGCGGUGAAAUGCGUAGAGAUCUGGAGGAAUACCGAUGGCGAAGGCAGCCAUCUGGCCUAAUACUGACGCUGAGGUACGAAAGCAUGGGGAGCAAACAGGAUUAGAUACCCCUGGUAGUCCCAUGCCGUAAACGAUGUCUACUAGCCGUUGGGGCCUUUGAGGCUUUAGUGNCGCAGCUAACGCGAUAAGUAGACCGCCUGGGGAGUACGGUCGCAAGACUAAAACUCNNAUGAAUUGACGGGGGC
rnacentral:rRNA from 1 species